rnacentral:misc_RNA from 2 species
CAACCCUCAAGCUCGGCUUGUGUGAUGGGCGACCGUCCUUCCCCUAGGGGCGGGACGCGUCCGAAAAGCAGUGGCUAGGCCGCGAUUCCGGCGCCUGAGCGAAUGGGACUUCCACCGCUUCUAGGACCGGCCGGCACUUGGCCUUCAAACACGGUCUUAACUGACCAUCUA